AGGAGCUUUGCCUCUCAGGGCGACUAGGGGCUGGAGGACUACCUGUGGAGCUCAGAGGCUUAGGAUGUGCUUCAGGAAGGCUGCACGAGAGGAAGGGAGAGGACUUCAGACUCUGACUGACAGGCAGUCCGUGGAACUUUAGGGCCCACAUCAGCCGUGCCUCGGAACUGGUGAAAGCUUUGACAGACAGGGAAGCGAGCAAUUUCUGCCUCGGAAACUCGGGCCCCCUCAGUGCCAGCCCAUGAUUGCAGGACAACUCUCCCAUUCCAGGCUUUGUGGUACCUCCCCCUUCUCCAUCCCACAGUUCUGCCCCUGCCUCACCGAGAGUGGUAAGAACGUGUCUGAGCUCUGCCCCCA